GACGAACGCUGGCGGCGUGCCUAACACAUGCAAGUCGAGCGAAUGAAGUUCCUUCGGGGAUGGAUUUAGCGGCGGACGGGUGAGUAACACGUGGGCAACCUGCCUCAUAGAGGGGAAUAGCCUCCCGAAAGGGAGAUUAAUACCGCAUAAGAUUGUAGUACCGCAUGAUACAGCAAUUAAAGGAGCAAUCCGCUAUGAGAUGGGCCCGCGGCGCAUUAGCUAGUUGGUGAGGUAAUGGCUCACCAAGGCGACGAUGCGUAGCCGACCUGAGAGGGUGAUCGGCCACAUUGGGACUGAGACACGGCCCAGACUCCUACGGGAAGCAGCAGUGGGGAAUAUUGCACAAUGGGGGAAACCCUGAUGCAGCAACGCCGCGUGAGUGAUGACGGCCUUCGGGUUGUAAAGCUCUGUCUUCAGGGACGAUAAUGACGGUACCUGAGGAGGAAGCCACGGCUAACUACGUG
rnacentral:rRNA from 1 species